ACAAGUUUUUUCAUGUAUGCACAAAAUCACAAUCCUGCUUUCAUCAGUUUUCAUUCUCACAGGCCCUUGGACCCCCAGACAAUAAUUAACACUUCCUGGUUCCCAGCACAGCUCUAAGUGCUUGCGCGUUCCCAAAUCACAUUUAAUCUCCAGCUGUUGGUGUGUAUAGCUGGCACCAUCCAUCCUUUAUUCCCAUCUCAGCUAUGGAGAGGGUAAGGACCAAGAAGCUGUUCAAAGUGGCCAGUGUGUGUGUGUGUGUGUGUGUGUGUGUGUGUGUGUGUGUGUGUGUGUGUGGGCGUGCACCGCCGAAGUGUGAGAUGUCAGCAGUGGAAUGUCUGUCUGUCCAGAUGUCAGGCGCUUACCCACUGCCUCCCUAAAAGCAUGGUGGCUGGCCAUCCUGAUUUGUUCCCAAGAUUCCAAAUGAAAAAAUUCUCUCUCCGGUCCACAGGAGCCUGAACCACAAGGGUAAUCAGAGCCAUAACCAUCUACUACCAAGCCACACUCCCCGGGGCACUGGGAUACUGCGGCGGGGCUGGAGCCCCAGGGCACCGGGAGGAGCCAAGAUCCUGGGCUGGGAGGAGAGGACUAGGAGGCGGGCGGCACAAAGAGCUUUUUAUUCAAAUUUGUUUAGAGUUUCGCGAAUUUGCAUGAAAAAUGUGUGAGAAAAGCCAGCUCCGGUGACCUCAUCCGCACCUGCCAUUAACGUUCAAUUAGCGGCUGAAUAGUGGCUGCCGACGCGACGUGCAGAGAAUCCAGCCUGCCCCGCGCAGCUCGGCGGCGGGCUGGGCGCGGGAUCGGGAGGAGGGGCGCGGCGGGACGCAGGGCUCCGCCUGUGGCUCGGAACCCAAACACCCAGGGCCUCCGCACCCCCCAGAUUCAAGAGACCCCGGAAUCCCAGAGCCCGAGAGCACCUGGCAGUUUGGGGCGAGUCGGAGCCUUGGAGAUCCCGACUCCCUAAGGGCCUCAGCGGAUUACAGGCUCUUUGGGUCCGCGGGAGCGAAGGUGGCGGGCCAGUCCUGUCCCGGCUCAGACAGGCUUCCUCGCCACCUUCCGGACAAAGUGUCAAGUACAAGUUCAAGUUCAGGGGCUGGCCCCAGGAGGAAGGGGGUGGGGGGAGCCAUCCCCAGCUGCCUUUGUUCUCCGGGAUAAGCGCUCUCACGUCCCCCUCCCGGGCGGGGCUCGGCAAAUACCCCCGCCCCGCCCCGCCGCGCCCCGCAGGAGCCUCCUCCUCCCGCCCUCGCGGCGCCUGUGCCUGGGUCCCGGCGACCCUCCUCAGGGCCACCGAAAGGUCUGGGGGCUUGGGGCGGGGGAGGGGGGGCCUGUCCGAGUCCGUGGGAGCCUCUCUGGCCCCGCAGUCCCAGCAGCAAACUGCGCUUGGUCGGACGGAUGCCCGCGCGGAGGGAAGUUGAGAAAAAGCAUGUCUUUGGAGGCUGGAAACCUGGAGGUCAUUUCUGAGCAAGAAAUCAGGAAGCCUUCGGGUCUUUGAUCUCUGCUCCCAGCACCUCAGUAGAGAUGGUUCCAGGGAAGAGCCUGAGAGGGAGAUUUAUUCAGUUCUAGAGCCCCAACGGCACCACCCAAACUUGGAAAAAGAAUCAUGUUGAUCACCAGAGAAGGAAUCUCAUGGGAACUAGACUUCGUUCAGGAGGCGCCAGUAACAAAGAGGCUCUGGGAUUGCAUCCUGACUGCCCUGGAGGGAGGAUAUGACCAUUGGCACAUGAGGCUAUGAGGCAACUAGACAGCCCAGUUCUCAGAGAAGCAUCUCCGUUCUUCCUUCUCCAGGAGUUUAGCUUGGACAGCAGAGACACACCACAGCGGUGCAGGGCAGAAAGUCCUGUGGUUAGACCGCGCCCCACACUCUCCCACCCACUCCUCCCCACAACUUGCGUCAGACCCGGCUUCGUUUUUAAUUCUCCAGCCUUGGGAAUGACAGACUUAAUUCAGAGGUAUUGCCCUUGCGCCCUCCCCGACCCCGCACCGCAUCCCGAGUCCUGUGGUGCGUGUGGGGCUUGUGUUCACUCAGAGGCCAUCAGACGCUGUGCGCGGUAGUUUUCUUCUCUUUAGAAGGUAGCAAACUGUUUUUAAAGGUGGGAUCUUUACAGACGAAGGAUGCCAAGACCCAUUCCCCAAGAUGCGGGGCUCCGUGGAGUACGGGGUGGGGGAAUGUGUAGGAGGUUUGAUUAGUCUGGUUUCUGGUCAGAGAGCCUCGCAAGCCUAGCCGGCUGAGAGCUGUUCUUUUAGUGGUGCUGAAAAUGAGGCCAACUCUGCCCAUUUGCCUACAAGCUGUCUAUAACUCAGCCACCACCCUCUUUCCUGCUUAGAGUCACAAGCUAAAUGAUUCACUAUUGUCUGGCAACAAAUCCCGGUAACCACCUAAUGGAUCUGAUUGCUUCCAGUUGUAAUCCCCCCCCCCAUUCUUUCUCUACUGAGCAUCGAGUGGUUUUUUUCUUUCUCUUACUCUUCGUUGGUUUGAAUAUUUAAAAAUUAUGUUUGUCUAUCUGUCUGUCUAUGUUUUUUUUUUCGAGGCAGGGUUUCUCCGUGUAGCCCUGGCUGUCCUGGAACUCUGUACACUAGGCUGGCCACAAACUCAGAAAUUUGCCUGCUCCUGCCACCCAAGUACUGGGAUUAAAGGUGUGCACGUACCAUUAUGCCUGGAUGUUGUUGUUGUUGCUGUUGUUGUUGUUGUUGUUGUUUAUUAAUGUGUAGGGUAUAUAUCCUGCUUGCAUGUACGGUGCCAAAGGAGGCCAGACGAGGGCACUGAAUCCUCUGGAACUGGAAUUACAGGUGAUCGGAGGUGUGUGUGUGCUAGGAUUCAAACUCGUUUCUCUGGGAGAUCAGCCAGUGCUCUUAGCCACUGAGCCAAUCUUUCCAGCUCCCUCCUUUUUUCCAGACUUGCCUCACAUAACACAGGCUGAGGCUGACCUUGCACUUCUGAUCCUCUGGCCUCUAACUUCCACCAGCUAGGAACACAUGAUGCCACGCCUUUCCCACCGCAUGAGUGUUCUUCUUGCUCCCUCUCAGGAUGCACAAGCCAGGCAUAUACCAUCCUGCUAAGCUACACCAGCAGCACUGGAAUGGCUCACAUCCUCUGCUUCCCUUUCUUUCUUUCCUCUUUUCCUUUGUGAGACAAAGUCUCAGUUUGUAGCCCAGGCUAGCCUGGAACUUUCUACAUAGUCUGAGAUAGCCUAGAACCUGCAAUCCUCCUGCCUGUGUCUUGCAAAUGCUUGGCUUACAGCUAUUGGUGAUCAUGCUCAGCUAAAGUGGCAAGGGCAUACUGAUCAAGGGGCACAACUGAUCACCUCUCAAGCAUAUUACAGUUUUCAUGUCAUUCAAAAUAAAACAAAGUUCUUGCCAAAGUAAGGAGGUCCCUUCUCUCUGGCAAUAAUCUAGUGGCUGCCUCCUCUCACCUGUCAGGAUGGGGCCUUUACCGAGCCCUGGCUUAAUUCUGGUGUAUUUUGAAGAUAAAGCCAUUAAGAUUUGACAAGGAACCUGGAUGGUGGUAAACACCUUUAAAAUCCCAGAGGCAGGCAGAUCUCUGAGCUCAAGUCAAACAUGGUCCACAGAGUGAAUUCUAGGACAGCCUGGGCUACCCAGAGAAACCCUGUCUCAAAACAAAACAACAACAACGACAAAAAAAGAAACAAAAAACCAACCUCCUCAAACCCAAAACAAACAUACAAACAAAGAUUUGCCAAGAGGUGGGAGGUAAAUUGUGGGAAGCCUGUGGAGCCAGGCUGCCUGUGAUCAUACUUAUUAUCCAGACCUGCGCGUCAUUUUGCCUCUAAAACCACAUCAUGGUGAGAUGGCAGGAAGUCUCUGGUAACAUCCAAUGGUGCUAAUCCUGCUGCUGGGGACCUUGCCCACCCUCUGAUAUACUUAAUCCCCAUCCCAGCCCCGUUUCAGGAGAGUAAGCACAUCACAGAUGUGAAGCGAGUGGCCCGGGGUCACACAGCUGGAAAGUUAGAACUCCAGCUCCACAGAAAGGGGCGAGCUGGUGAGCCCGCAGACGUCAUCUCCGGCAGAGGCAUGAGGGUGCUGACCCUGGGCUCAGGCAGCCUUCGUGUAAUCCCAACUCUGCCAGUUACUGACUUAACCUCUCCACGCCUGCGUUUCCUUGUCAGGAAGAGGUGGUGAUCCCCUGCCAGCCUUGCUGUGAAGACUGAGGAGACAAUGUGUAUGAACUGCUGUUAUCAGUACUGUUCUUCCUGCUCUAAAUCUGAGCUCCUCCCUGACCAUGGCAGGCAAGUCCAGAGGGUGGCGAGAGAAGCCAGGCUGAGAAUUUCUUGCCUCAUCAUCCUCUUGGGUAGGAGCAGAGGGGGCAGAGGACAGAGGAGGGGACGCGUGACUGCCUGGGCUCCUAAGCAAUUUACUGGAAGAGCUCAUUUGGCAACUCUGAUUCCAAGUUAAUUAAAGAUGGCCACUAGGGGUCAUUGCCAUGGUGACAAUUAGGCCAGAAAGAAGCCUCAUUAAGGUGCGGUUUUAACUAGGCCAGUCGUUUUUAACCUAAGGUCUGUGGGAAAGGGAGUCAGCUUGCUCCUCUUCUCUCCUCUGUGUUCAGAUCCAUUUCCAGACAGUUCUAGUUGAGGAGGGAAGCAGAGGAGGAGUCCUGGGGCUGAGUCCCCCUUGAGUACCAGCAGGGCAACAGGUUUCUCUGUGACACUCACCCUGUCUGCCUUAGGGAGGGUGGAGGCCAUGAUGUCAGAGCAGGCAGAGAGGAGGGGGAUUUUGUUCAGAGAGGUGCAGGAUACCCAAUCUGCUUCCCAAACUGAGUGAGGCAAGCCGUGUAGUGGGUGAUAAGUACAUGAAACAUUUCUUUGCGUUGAAUUGAGAACGCUAGGAGCUUAGAGCCUGUCUCAGUUCACAGCACUGUGAUGCAUUGAGCCAGGCAUGGUGGUACCCACCUCCUAUCUCAGUACUGAGACAGGAAGAUAGCAACAUCCAGGCCAUCCUCACCCACACAGUGAGACCUUCAUAGAGGUAGACUGGGGACCGAGACUGGUGAGAUGGCUCAGCCUUCAACUUGCGCUCUCAACGUGGACCUGCCUGGGCUUGGUAUCCAAACACACAUGGCAACUUACAAUGUCUGUAACUCCAGUUCUAAGGAGCUCAGUGCCCUCUUCUGGUCUUUAUGGGCACCAGACAUGCUUUUAGUGCAUUUACAUACAUGCGGGUGAAACUCUCAUACACAUAAAAUAAAAACAAACAAAUCUCUUUUAAAAAAAAACAAGAAGCUGGGCUGAAGGGACAGCUCUGCAAAUAAGAGAGCAGGGUUCAGUUCCUACAUGGCGCUCAUAAAAGUCUGUAACCCCAGUUCCGAUGCCUUCUUCAGACCUCCACAGACACUGCAAGCGUGUGGUGUACAGAUGCUCACCCAGGCCAAACAUCCAUGCACCUAACAAUAAAUGGAUAAAUACUUUAAAAAAAAAAAAAGACUAAGGGGCUGGGGAGAUGCUUCAGUCAAAAAAGAACUUUCCAUACGAGCAUGAAGGAUUGAGUUAAGAUCUGCGACACCUGCAUCAGAGCCAAGCGUACUGAUGGACAUCGGAAUCCCAGUAGACAGAGCCAGGGACAGCUCUGAAUGAAUCCAUGUCCAUGAGAGACCCUGUCUCAAGAAAUAGAGUAGAAGGUUCCGAGAGAUGACACACCAGUUAAAAGCAUUUGUUAUUCCUGGGAACUGGGGUUUGGUUUGUAGUACCCACACAAUGGCUCAUGACCACCUAUAACUCCAGUUCCAAGGGAUCCAGUGACCUCUUCUGACCUCCAAGGACACAGAGCAUGCAUGUGGUGCACAUACACGCAUGCAGGCAAAUCACAGACAUGUGUAAAAUGAAAACAAAUACGUCUUUAAAAAUAAAUAAAAUGGGGGUUGGGGAUUUAGCUCAGUGGCAGAGCGCUUGCCUAGCAAGCACAAGGCCCUGGGUUCAGUCCCCAGCUCCGAAAAAAUAAAUAAAUAAAUAAAAUGGGGCUGUAGAGAUGGCUCAGCGGUUAAGAGCACUGACUGCUCUUCCAGAGGACCUGAGUUCAAUUCCCAGAAUGGCUCACAACCAUCUGUAAUGGGAUGCUCUCUUCUGAAGAGAACUACAGUGUACUAACAUAUAAAUAAAAUAAAUAAAUCUUUAAAAAAUAAAUAAGGGGUUGGGAAUUUAGCUCAGUGGUAGAGCACUUGCCUAGCAAGCGCAAGGCCCUGGGUUCAGUCCCCAGCUCCGAAAAAAAAAAAAAAAAAAGAAAAAGAAAAAAAAGAAAUAUUUAAAAAUAAACAAAAGGAAGAGUACCUGAGGAAGACACUUGACUGCACGCAUGUGUUCAGUGUGCACCUGAAUGCAGACAUGAAUUCACUCAAGAACACACACAAAGAAAUAGAAUAUAGUUUCUCCUCCCGGUAGUAAUAUAAAUGCACUGGUGAAAACAAGACGAUGUCCCAGGAAAGCAUAAAAAGAGCCCAUUUCCUGCUCUUCCUCGCCCCGGACACAAUGUCUGCUGAUGUUGUCCAUGUGAUAAUCGUGGCACAGGCUAUAGGGAGCUGGAGUCAAAGACCAAAGACGGGAGGAAGGGGACCUGAGAUUUGGCGUUUGUGUCCUUUUCUACUGUUUGUACUUUAUUGGGAAUAAUGUCAAAUAAAUUGUAGUGGGAAUACCGACGAACGUCACAUCCUUCUGAGCAUGGAGAUGGAUUGCACGUUUUUCUCUACAAAAAUACGGGUCGCAUUGUACAUACGAGUUUGAAACCUGAAUUUAUCACGUCAAGAUAACGAGAUGUCUUGAAUGCUUUUCCAGGAUGCUGCAACUUCUUACUUUUUUUUUUUUUAAAGCACAUUGAAAACUGUUCAAACUUCAAAGGCUAACAAACAGACAGGCAAGCUUCUUACCUGAGCCUCCCUGUCCCCUUUCCCCUCCACAGGAGCAACCUUGAAGGUCCGUUUCUUUCUCCAUCCCCCAUCCUUACGUCCCUCCCUCCCUCCCUCCCUCCCUCCCUCCCUCCCUCCCUCCCUCCCUCCCUCCCUUCUUCCUUCCCUCCUUCUAGUCCAAACUGGCCCGGCCUUGAACUCAGCAAGUAACUGAAGAUGGCCAUGAACUUCUGAUCUGCCUACCUCCACCUUCAGAGUGCUGAUAUUACAAGCAUGGAAUUGAGUUAUCACCAGGAAACUUCACCAAAUUACGGUGGGCAUAAAUAUGCCCCAAAUAAGCUAGCUGGGGUCAGGCUCUUGAAGUGUGAACCAGCACCAGUUACUGUGUUGAACCUGGACAGAAUUCUCGACUGUCCUGCACCAUCACUCUACUGGCUGGGGUGUUCGCAGAGAACCCCACAAGUGCUUUGCUGUGGAUCAAACCCGGGGCCUUUACACAGGCUGGGCAAGUACACUACCAAGUGAGGUUCAUCCCUAGGUCUUCAAUAGCCAUUUCUCUUGCACUUAUCUGUAAACGUUCUAUGUGGGGACAGGCGCAGAUAUUUUCUCAUAUAUCUAUCUGUGCAGCAAAGUUAGUAGACGGUUCACCUGUCCUGUAUUUAAAUAUUCAUGAUAUGAGUUGGCUUCAUAUCAGUGCGUGUAGUGCUGUCUUGAUCUUUUUCUAAUACCUGGCAGUCUGCAGCAGCGAGGCAUCAUGUAUGAAGGAGAGGUGACUCUGGCCACAUGGUCUUUGUGUCCAGCAUUAGACAGGGUGGUCAGCACACAGAAGCACUCUAGAAAUGGUCACAGCAGGUGAAAAUGUGGGGAAACAGGGGGAUGGGGGUUAAAGGAAUGAUCAGGAUCUCAUGAAUGGAUCUGUGGCCUUGAUGGAAGCUUUCACUUCCUCUCCUCUGGGAUAUGACCCCCUAAAGACCCUCACAUGAGAUCAGGCUUCGCCAUAGGGAUCCUUAUCUUACAGGCUAGGACACCUAGUUACAGGACAUCCUUGGAUAUCAUAGCAUGGGCCAUUGCUCAUUGAGAUCAUCAAAGACUCACAGCCUCUUGUCUUUUCUGCACACUGGCUUUAUCUUCAGGAAUAUUCUCAUGACUGCAGAAUGCCUGCCAGAAGCCACCCAUGUCACUGAGGGCAACCCGCAAAGAGUGAAGAGGACGGAAAAUGUUCCACCAAAUCCACAGAGCUAUCACCAAAGGGGAAGAGCCGUCCAGUGACAGACGUGAAGCAACCAUUCUUAACCCUUUAGUGCCCCCUUUCCAUAACAAAUCUUCCAGAACUCACAUAUUGAGUUAAAAUAAAUCAAAGGUCUGUAGAGAGGGCUCAGCAGUGAAGAACACACUUGCUGCUCUUGAAGAGGACGGGAGCUCGAUUCCCAGCACCUACACAGUACCUUACAGUUACCUGAAACUUUGAUUCCAGGGGAUCCAAUGUCCUCUUCUGGCUUUGCGGAUACCAGGCACACAUAUAGUGCAAAGACGUACAUGCAGAUAAAAACGCUUAUAAAAUCAAAGUAAACAAAAUACUCAGAAAA